rnacentral:tRNA from 1 species
ACCAGAAUAGCUCAGUGGUUGAGCAUCCAUCUAUGAAACUGGAGGUCAUGGUUUGAUUCCAGGUCCUGGCA